GUCUUUGACCUUGUUUUCUGUGCCCCGUGCGGCGGCGUGGUGCAGAGUGCAGGCGGAGGUGUAAAGGCGCUGGUUCUGGGGUGCAGCUCUGCCCUACGUGUGGUGGGGAGAUGCUGUGGGAGAAGAGGACUCCGUGAAGAAUGGACUGUUGGUCUUAUUGAUAGGCUUCAACAGCAUCGGUAUGAAUCAGCUCCCGGUGUGUGAAUUCCAGCCAGGCUGUUUUCUGAGGCACGAGGGAUUCUGCUGAGGAGGGGAUGUGACCCAACACGUGUGCACUUACUGACCAUCACCUAGAGCGCUGGGCCGCUGCCCUGCCUGAUGUGACCUGCGGGACACAGACAUGCAAUGGUGCAGAAUGACGGUGCUGCUUGCUUUGUCGUCGUGAUUGAGCCUUGCUAUGGACUUAUUUAUGGUGGGAAAAUUAUAUUUGAGAAUUGUUUUACCAACCUCUGACAGGCAGCCGCUGCUGGGGUGGGAACCGUGAGGGGUCCGUAGGUUUCCCUAUCCCUUGCAGGUGCUGUGAUCCCAAAUAUCUUUCAUCAGUGCCCUGGUGAUGGGAUUAGCGUGCAUUAAGAGUUUCUCUUCUCAUCUCUCCCAGGGAGGAUCAAAUGCAGUGAAAUAUCCCAUUUUGCUGGUUGCUUUUUGAAAAACGUGUGGUAUGUGUUCGUGUUAGGAACGCAAGGUCAAAGGAACAGGAGCACAGGACACGGGGCUGCAUAAACCCUUUCAGGACAUUGGGUUUGAUCCAUGCGUUGUAGUCCUGUUUGCAAAACUGUUUUAAAAGUAGUGCGUUUGUUUACCCUCAACUACAAAGCGUGCUACAAAGGCUCCUCCUGAAUCACCAGUGCUUUCUGGGAAGAAACGUGGAAGGAAAGCUGGGGGUUGUGAUCCCUUGUCCCUUAGCAAAAGACCAGCACUUGUACCAACACCCUGGGAGCACCAUGUCCUGCACCUGUGAGCAUUCUCCUCUCUGGGGAAGUUUCCUCUCUCCCCAAGGAACACAGAACUGUUGGUGAGGUUUAUCCCAUUGCUUUACGUUGGCUGGUUAGGUCUGGAGAACGUGGCUUCGAGUUUGGAAGUUGUUUUGGCACGAAUCAGCACUGAGCGGAGACCAACGCUGUAGGAGAUUGCAUUAAGGGAUGGGUAAUGAAGGAUGCUGAGGAAACUGCAUCCAGCUGAAAUAAGGUAUGGGGGCAGGUGAGUUUAAACACCAAAAGCCACUUAGGCUGCAUGAAUAUAUGAAGCACGUGGACACUGAAGCAGAUGGGACACUUCAGCAGUGACUACCAAGUCACCCAGGUCGCUCACCUGCCCUGUGGCUUGAAGCAGGUCCCAAAUGGUGCAAACAGCAGGGCCACAAACCCUCUAAGGAAACAGACUGACAAAAACAGGGGUUAUUUCACAAGCAGCAGGGAGAAAUUAGUGGUAGCGCUGCUUGUUUGCUGCAGCAGACUGCUAAGAGACAAGCUACUUGUUCUUUUUCAAAGGCCUUGGGGAAAAAAAGGGCCAUCAUUUCCAGGCAGGAAUUCUUCUGAGGAGAGUAUUUUUGUGCCUGGCUAAGAAGAGAUGAAAAGGUCAAAGAAAAUUAAAUUCACAUGCUCAGAACAUUUCAGGGCAGGUGUUUUUCCUAAGCCAGAUUUCAGGCUUGGGAGGGCGUACCCAGGAUUUAUGCCCCUCCUAAAGUUUCACCUGCUGCACUAGCACUGGAGGGCGAAGGAUUUCACAGCCCUGGCAGCCUGACUUCUCUGGACCGGACUCAAUGACUUUGCUUCGAGCUCAUUGCAAUUUGUACAGCUCGAACGAAGGCUCAGACAAGCGCUCCGGUCUGGCUGCUCAUCACUGCAUUUCACUUGGCAUGUAGGCAACGGAUGAGGAAUGCACAGAAUUUCCUUUUCCACCCCGUCAGAUCCUCUGUCUUGAGCCUGGCCCAGCCCCAAGAGCACAACGGAUGCAGCUGGAGAAGGGCAGGUCCAAUCUUGCUGCUCAGCUCCAGUGACACUUAACCUCCUCUGCUGCUGAGCUGCUUGCAGCUGGAGGUGGAUGUUAAUGAGCAUCAGCCUACUGAAAUGGCUCAUCAGGGAAGGAAGGGGAGUUGAUUUCUUUGACUAGAGAAUACAAUAGAAGCUGGAGCUCUUGUGGGAGAAGAUAACCCUCAAUCUCAAAGAAGGUGGUCUUUGGUUUUGCAGCUCAGUUUUUCUCUUGCUGUCGAUCUGCUUGAGAAGGUAACAGGAGUGUGAGUCUUCCCUCUGGCUGCUAAAUUGGCUGUCAGCAGUUUUGCCCCACUGUAAAACUGAUUGCAACUAACUGUAAUUUCUUAGUAUGUGGGAAUCAAUAGGGAGCUCUGAGCUAUCAAAUAAUGAGGUCAGUUAAUCCCUUGCAUUGCUCUAGGGAAGGCAUUGGGGAAGGAUGUUGGCCCUUUAGGGCAGACCGUCUUCUUGGUGGUACCUAUGCUCUGUGGGACAACAAGGCUUUCCCACAGGUCUGUUAGCUUGGCCUUGGUUGCGAAGGGAGCUGUAAACAUAGGAUCAAAUUCUGUCUUAUCUCAUCCCUAAAAAUGAUUUUUCUUGGCUGGAAUGGAACGCUAACUGGCUUCUUUCCUAAAGCAGCUGUGCAGCAACGAAGGGAUUGAAUGAGUCCUUUCCCUUGAGCUUAGGCACAGCUCGUGGCUGGGUGGAAAACUCCUGUAGCAUCUCUGAUACAAUAACAACAAUAAUUCACACUGUGUCCGAAGACACCCAAAUUUAAUUGCUAUCAGUGAUGGCUUCACAGGUUGAAGCAUCUUUAUCACGCUAGGAAAACAAGUUUUGCCCCAGGGACGCUGCUAAGAAAUAAAGAAGAGGAUUUUACUUAUAUAUUAAUUUUGGCAGAAUGAUCCCAACGAGCAGUGCAUGAGUUGCUGCAAGUCGGACUCGAAAGGUGACAGAAAAUAUUUCUCUUCAUCCCCAGACCACUGCUUUCCUUUAAGGGAAGGACAGUGUCUUAAAAAUAGCCCGUUAUUGCAUUUGUUAAUUAGUCUUUAUUUUAUUUAUAUCUUUGAUUUCAUUUACAUAGUUAAAGGCCGCUGAGAGGAUUAGCAUCCUUUUUCUCCUGCUUAUUUCUUUGCCUGAGAAUUUCUAGCACCGUCAAACUUUCUCUUCUGAUUUUUGCAAGGUCUUCCUUUGCAGGGUAGAGGCAAGUUUGCCUAAUAAUGUUUAUUAACGUAAUCAAAAUAUUAACCAAGACUUUCUUUAAACAAAGUGCUGGCUAGGCACUGGAGUGAAAUAUCUGCCAGCAAAACCUGUAAGUCUAAACUAGAGAGGAACUUUGCUCAAUCAUUCAGCUUUGUGUUCCUAAUGGCACUGUGAUUGUACAGUUCAGUAACCCUACAGAUCUCAAUUGUCACUUGAUUUUUUGGCAGCAUCAAAGAGAAAUACAAAGUCAUUUUCUGAGAGUUUUCAGGCUUCUCUCUCCAGCAGCAAAGCACAUAACCUUAGUUCUUGUACAUGUUGCUCUCUUUGGCCUCCUUGCCAGUUCUUUUGGGUUGGAUUUAGUUUAAUGCAGAGCACUCAUCAGGUCACUGUGACUCUUUCUAGAAAGAGGGUUUUUUUUUUUUAACUAAUUAUUUUGUUCUCUUCUCCUUUCGUCCUUCCCAUCUUGCUGUAAAGCAAAAGGCUUCAGUUGUCUUUUCUCCAGAGAGAUCAACAGCAGCGUGUAGAAUAAGCACUGAGCUAAUGAAAUCCUGUCCUGGCUUAAUCUAAACAGGGUCUUUGGCUAAAUUCUGUUUGCACAGUGACCCCCCCCCCAGCACAGAACGUCCUGAGGAUGGCUCAGCCUGUGGGGUGGUCCUGGAGAGACUGAGCCUAAGGGUUUCACCUACAUGCUCGGAUCCCAGUACUGAUCCCAUCCGCAGCUCCUGCUGCUUUGGGGACAAGGCAGAAGGGAAAAAAAAGCAAUGAUGGGAAGGAAAGGUCCUGCUGCUUGGUAGAGCAUCCCGCUCUGCAUGCCUUCUCCUCUCUGCAGGUAAGAGCAGAGCCCACCUUGCCAAGUGCACGGUGUGGAAAAUUCCCUCCCAGCUUCUGAAGCGUUGUGCAGUGAUGCAGGAUGUACAAAAUGGACAGCAUUUGAAGUGUUUCCUUAUAGGAUAAUCAGAGGAAGUCAUUGUAUUAAAUAUCCAUUUGUGUCAUUAGCCUUUUAUUUGGUGCUUUGUCCAGACAUCCUGUUUGCUUCCCCUUUGGAGUAAUGAAUAUGUUUCCUGUGCGCCGGGUCCCGUCCAAAGCUCCCAUGCAAAGGUACCGAGCUGAGGUCAGUUGUGUCCUCAGUGCAUCUCUGGGCUCACCUUGUGUGAGGAGCUCUGGGGUAAAUCUAGAGCUCACCUGUUGUCCUCAAACCGCCUUCCUCGUGCUGUGAGGAUAAGGAGUCAGAGCUGUCACUUCCUGGGACUUGAGAUCUCACGCUAUUCUGGUUGGACAUUACGGCAACAUCAGCAUGUCACGCUGAGUGCUUCUGAGGGCUGGUCUGGCACUCAGGGCACGUGGAGCAAAUGCUGUACUGUAAUUCCAUAUGUUAGGAGGCAGCAGGUGGGAAGAGCUGGGGCCUCUCAGUCUUUAAACCUAGGAGGUGACAAACUGCUCUGCAUCCCUCUCCCUUCCUCCUUCUCGUUCCCAUACAGGGAUUGGUGUCCUGCUACUUGUCUCCAGCAGCUGCCUCGUAUCUGCUACCUUAUGGAUGCCUUCCAACUCGGGAUAUCCUAUGAGUCUUCCUUCAUUGUCCUUCUACUGAACCUGGGACCUCCACAGUGAGCAGCUAAAGGUAUUCUGGGUCUACACCGGUGAGAAGAGAGAAGCUCUCUGCGAGGCCUGGAAGUAUGACACAUGCUUAUGAGCAGACUCUAGGCACAUACAAUGUACUCAUUAAAUGCCACGGGGACUGCUGUGCCAGCAGGAGGGAUUCUAGCCCCAAAAAGCACUGCGAGAGCUGCGUGACCCCUCACCCCCAGGCAGAAGUGGGGGAGGACACCUCCAUCUUGUAAUCUGCAUCUGUCAAAAGAAGUGCUCUCCUCAUUUUUUGCCAGUUUGGGAAGGGUUAACGAGGGAAGCACAGCCCCCAGGGGCCAGCACUGUUGUUCCAUGCAGAUUGGCUUGUUCUUGUUUCUUCCAUCGAUCGCAAUCACUCAGAGCUGUGCCUGUAACAAACUGCCUUAAAUCAUUGCAAUCAUAAUAAGCACACCUUGGUAAAUAAUGCAUGAGGUGUCCGUAAGCCUAUAUUCAUUAGGAGGAAGGCGCAUAUAGAGCACGGUAAUCAUCUGGGCUCAAGGAGGGGCUUGGAUGGUGGGGCUGAGCCGGGUUUGGGGGCAAGGCUCUCCAGCCCCUCAGAUGUUGGAAACGUAGGCGGGUUCCUUGUCACCUUCAUGAAUUUUGUACGAGAUGUUUAAAAUGCCUGUAAGGUUUGCAUUGUAAUCCAGGUUGGGUAGAAGUGGGCUUGUGGCGAGUCUCCAAGUGGUAUAAUAGCAAGGCAUCACAAUUAAUCGUGUUUAAUAUGUUUUAAUGACUCAAAGCACGUGGUGUGUAACAAGUUUUGCUGUGAGAGCCUCGUAGCCAAGUUAAUGGUCUGGAUAUUAGGAGCCACUGUUUUAAAGCACAAAUUAAAAAUGCUUUGUUUUCCCUUUGUCUUGAGGAGCAGAAUGGUGUUGCAGCAUGGAGCUCCUUUAGGGCAGCUCCAUUGGGCGUUAGUGCCAUCCUGGUGCCGUGGCCUUCACUGCGAGGUUUUCAGGGCAGACUGCAAGGGAAAUUAGGCAGAAAUUUCCACCUUUCUUUUUUUAUUAUUAUUUUUUUUGUGUGUGUGAAAUGACAGCGAUAAGGACAGUUUUCUUUUGUAUGGUUAGAAGGGAUGGAGCCGUGGCAGAAGCAUUCCUGCUUGUAUCAGACAGCUGUGGAUGGCAAUGGGUCAUUUCACUCCAUUAUGGUUUCUGGCAAGUGAGUAUUAAAGGGUGUGUGAGGGCAUCGUUUCUCAGCGAUGACUUCAUUUGGCUGUCUAAACAAACAGCCGUUCCUCACCAGGUGCAAAGGGCCUUCUAUUUGUUUUUGAACUCUGUGAAGGGGGAAAAAAAAAUACCUAAAGGGAAAAUAGCAGAUCCUGCCUGUUUGACAGCCAUGGUGGUCUCUGCCUUCUUGGGAAACAGCAGCGAUGAGCGCUGCGGGGACAACUCGCUCCUUGUUCAGCCCCAGUGGAUGUCUUCAUCGCCAUGGUAAGUCUGUUUGAGAGCCUCCAAACCACAGACCUCCUGGUCAUGCUGGUUGGCUCAGGGUUGUCUAUAUCCAACAACCCAAUCCCUAGACGUGCUCAAAGCCAAGUUGGAUGGCACCCUGGGCAGCCUGAUCUGGCGUGGGGCAACCAUCCCAUGGCAGCUGGUUGGAGCUGGGUGAGCUUUUAAGGUCCCUUCCAAGCCAUUCUAUGGAAAUUCGGAAGUACUGGUGGGUCUGCUGUUCCUGGAAGGAGACAUUAUCUUUGAGAGCUCCCAGGGAUCCCAUCUCUGCUUGUAACCAAACCAGAACAUUUCUUCUUUAUACACACAAACCAUUUACAUGUACUUCAGAGCCCUAAGUAGACCACAUUUUAGAUAAAUUUAAAAACUCUGCUCUCCUGUUGGCAGACACUUGCUAAACUUUCACAAACUGCUAUGCCUUCAUCUCUGAAGCUGUGUUUUUGUCCGUGAUGUUCUUCCUGGAAGACGGUUGCAGAAACUCACAGCUGGUGGUUACCGUUAAACAUAAGGAGGAACAGUCAAAACUUCUCCCCUCUAAAAACAUAUAUCUGAGUGCCAAGCUCUGCCUUAUCUCCAGGAACAGUCUGAGGAGCUUGAGAUGAUUUUUGGGUCCUGGGUUCUCUCCAAAAUCAAUUCUUUGUGCUUCCUUCCAGGUUCUAGCUGCAUCAUCUGUCACAGAGAGAAGCAAAAUGACAAAGAGAGAUAAGAUCAGUACGUUUUAAGCUGGAGAAGAAAGACCAUUCAACCCAAGCAGAAGCAGAUAAAUAGGGAAUCAUUACCUUCACUGCCUUCAUCUUCACACCAAGCUUGCCACUUGCCUGGGCAACGUCACAAGAGAUGUGGCAACGUGAAACCACAGGUCCUGUCCCCAUUCCCUGGAAGCGGAACCCCUGUGCAGGUACCUUGUGGGGUUUGCUGGGACUGGUUGGAUGGGGAAGCAGCCCCUGGGUGUGCUGCUCAGAGCCCAUCAGAUUCACUCCGAGCAAAGAGUUGAGCCAAAGCCUUCAAAGGUGAAAGGCUGCUCCACUCGCCACCCCCUGUGCCACUGAGCCCCUCUGCUUUGUGGAGGAGAUGCUGAAUUUAGGGAAAUUACUCCUGCAAGCCAUAAAUGAAUGCGAUCUGAAAGCCCUGCUCGAAACACACUGCAAAGAAAGCCCAGCAAGGUUGCAGACAAAAGGCAAGGACAAUCAACUGAAAGACUCCCUGGCUUCAAUUAUGGUCUGGAAUUUAAUUCCAGUGAGUUUGGUGGCGUUUCCCUACCCCCACAGCCAAUCAGCCCCAGGGAAAGGCCAGCUCUCAGGCAGGGUUCUCAAAGGGCUCAGCCUGCAGAGAUAGAACAUAGAAUCACUCAGGUUGGAAAAGACCUCAAAGAUCAUCAAGUCCAACCAAGGCAGGACAGAAAGUCCUGUAGAUACCAGAAGCUUGUGCACAUUACUUCUGGGUGAAACCGUAAAGCUGGAAGUGAAAGGAGCUGGGAUGUUCUUGAGGCUUGGAAAUCCAGGCUGCAAAGAAGAAAGGAGGGAGGGUUAAAGCCCAUAAAUAGUUCUCAGCUAAUGAAAUGGCUGGGUGUGGGGAAAAGGGGAGAAUAGCUCCUUUUUUGAAAGCAGAUGAGGCAAGCAUGCCUCCCAACAUACUUUGUGCUUGUAAAACCCAGUCUGGGUUUCUAGGUAACUAAUGGAGGUACCCUGGGGAGAAGUUUCUAAGGGUUUCCCACAGUUUCUAGAUUUGAACAGCAAUGCUGAAUAUUGGCUGUGGUUAUUAUGAUCCAGGCUGACCUCCUGGCUAUCCCUGUUAAAUCCCCAUUUUGGUCUUUGCAUCCAAGUGUUGUCCUAGGGCUGUUCAAGCUCCUGUGGAGCUCAUCUCCAUUUUGUGUCUUCUUUAUCCACUAAGCCUCAAUAUGAACAGGCACUGCACUGAAAUCAGUCUGGAUGAACAUUGGCUCUGUUUGGGGCUUUUUCCAUGCUGGCUCCCUUGUCUUUACUGAGCUUCAGGCCAGUUAAUCCAGUGUGUAAAUGGACAUCGAGUGCAUUCCUGCCACCCAAAACAACACAAAGCUCUUGCCAGCUAUAAGUUGAAUCUUAAAUUCAGGAAAUCCUGGCAUGGCAAAAUGGGGAAUCCAGGCGGGCUUUGUGCACAAAGCCUAGUGAAAUCCCAGCAACAAAUUUUGUGUUGGUCACUGCUGUUAAAAAAGGCAUCUAUAGGGCCAAUAAAGAGCCAGCUGACCAUUCCUGCAAUGGAACAAAUGGAUGUCAGGAUGGAGGAGAGAUCCUUCUCCUGUUUGCAGCCAGUGCUCUGGUGAGCAGGCGGGGAUGCUGGAAGGACAAUGGCACGGAGAUAAUUUACUGCUAUGAUCGAAUUUAAUAUUGCUCGUGUAUCCAUGCAAAGUGGUGGCCGCGCACACAAGGAUGCAGGACCCUUUCCCUCUGCAUAGGGAGGGUGAAGGAUAAGUGCAGAGGAAGGAAGCAGCACAUGCUGCUUCCAGAGGUCAGUCCUGCACAGAUGAAUGCAGGCUGCCACUGUGCUUGCAGAGUAGAGGGAGCUAUAGAUAAGGGAGAGGACUAUAUGUUCUGUACGUCCCUACAGCCAUUGUUUUACCCUCAGAUGUAUUUGAUUCCCCUACUAUACGCUCUCUGGGAGGGCAUACAAAUUGAAAGCUAAUUAUGCAACUUGAUACUAUCAGUUGACAGCUGCCUAUCUCUGCCCACAUAGCAAAGGAAACCACCUCCAUACCUGACUUGCAGCCUAUGGAAAAGCCAAGGUGAGCUGACUGGGAGGGUCAGAACACUCAUUCUAUAGACAUCACAUGUGGUUUCCCUUCUUGCAUUCACAAUGUGUGGUAGGAGCAGGAGUGUAUUUCUUCAUUGCGAUUGGGAAGAGCGUCCAAAUUACCAUCUCCCUCAUGUGGCUGAAGAGUUCUGAUGGAUGAGAAAUGCCCAGGUUUUCUUUCAAUUUGCAAAUGCUGUGCUCUCAAUGAUAUCCUGAUAUCUGUGCCAAUCUCUGCAGCUUUCAGAUACCCGCUGCCCAGAGCUCGAACCAGCCCAUUGUAUUUCAGAUUACCUGAAGAACUUCUCCGUUGGCAAACUCAGCCCAGAAAUAAGGUUUGAAGGAUAUUCCUGUGUUUCCCAGGAGCAUGCAGCUUUUGAAUUGCUAUUUCCCCUGGUAUUAGGAGUUCUGGAAGCUGAAGCCAGCCAGAUGAUCAGUAUCUCGAACCACAUCGUGAGGGUUCCUUUUGGGAAAAUGCAUCUGUAUAACGAAUUGUCCUAGGUGCAUGAAUGAAGUGUUGAAAAUCAGCUGAGGGGCAGAACAUAUGGGGAAGGUGUGUCUGUGGGUGUGCUGAAAUGUUAUCUCCAAAUUGCUCGUUAAAACUUCAUUUUAGCGUCCUGAUUCAGAUCCUGUUUGUUCACGUGCAGUCAGGAGCGAUUUUUCCCCGAAGAAAAGCAAAAUAGGCUGCAUGUUGAAGCCCUCUUUGGUUUGGAGCACAAAACAAUUUCCACUUAACCUCAUUAGAGGCCCUAUUUGAGCGGAUUUCUUUGUCAAUAUUGAGUAUAAUCGCCUUUGGCCCAUGCAUCCUUUUCUCUACCUGGCUUUGACCGUCAGCCCCGUGUCUGUUAUUUUUGGGAUCCACUAGUGCUGCUUUGGCAGGUUGUUGAGGCAGUUCCCAAGUAGUCAUUCAAACGCUGUUCAAAACCCUCAUCUAAUAAGCUAGAAGCACAGCAGCUUCCAGAGCUGCACUCCCUUCCAGCAACUCCCUUUGCCAGCUAGAAAUUACGCUAUUUUCCAAUUUCAUUAUUACCUCUGUUUUUUAUUACAGCAUCAUUAGAGUGAGAAAACUGGAAAGGAAGUGGGGAUUGUAUAAUGCAGGAAAUAGUGAAUUAAUACCUCUACCAUAUGAUGGAAUGGUGCAGAGCUGUGACAGUAUCAGGGAAAUAUAGAGCAAAUACAGGCUGUGCUGGCUGGACGAGGGCGAGACUUCUCCACUUGCACUGAGGAGUAUCUGCUCACAGAAAUAACUAUUUCUCAGAAAUGCAAGAUUUGCACUUCCUUUCUGCACGUGCACGUUGCAAAUAAAGCCAUCACGAGGAUAUGGAGUGGGGGGAAAAAAACAGCUUUUAUUGCACAUAGGUGGGCUGUAGCGUGUUGGCAAAAGAAGGCUGAUGGAUUGCCUGAGAAGCAGCGUCAGAGCAUUUGAAGGAAGGGGCCAUGUAUGAUGAUAACAAAGAAUUGUCUAUUCCUUACCGUGUGGCUCUACAGUGCUAAGCCCUGGGAAGUGUUUAUUAGCUCUUGAGCAUUUAUAACUACCAGCUUCAGCGGGCUGCAGUGAGUGGGAAAGCUUGGCUCCCACAGCCAGCAAUGUGAAGGGGUGUGUCUUUCAUUCUGAAAGGGUAGGCAGCACUAAAGAGAGAAAAGCACCCUUUCUGCUCCUUUUCUUCUUUUCCAAUGACAUCUAUGUUUUCAGGCUCGCUGGCCUUACAGUGACCCACGGAUCAGACCCAUUAGUUACUGUGCACCCUGUAAUUUGGGCUGAAGGACAGAACCGUGGCACUGCUCACGGUUUCUGCGGCUGCUCGGAUAAAAGCCUCUGUGAGAUGCAUCUCCUAAAAACCCACUUUGUUUGUAGUACCACCAGAAAGUAAUUAAACGCUGGUAUGUAUCGGUUUUAUUUUGACGCUGCCUUCUGAGAUGCUGAGCGACUCGUUAGCUUAAACAGCUCAGAGCACAGUCUGCAUGUGUCUGUUGUGCAGUUGUCAGAUGGCAACAAAUGUGCUUUUAAUCACAGCUUGUUGCUCAGAUCGCUGGGUUGCGAAGGGAUGCAGCUUUUGGAAGCAACUUCUUUGUAUGUUUUCUGAUCAUCUUGCUGCCUGACGGUGCUGCCAUAAAGAUGCUUCAGAGGAGCUGCAGGGUCAUAAGAGGGGGAAACAAAAAUAGAUCUGGGUGAACCGAGAGCACCAACGGGCACAGGACUCUGAAUUUGCAAGCAUCAAAUCCAGAUUAUCCAUUUCUAGAACCUCUCGAAGCUUUAAACUCUUUACAGCCUGUUGAGAGCAGAAUGAUCUCUGACUUCCUGAGGGGAGGCCAGCGCUGGGGUGGAUGGAUGCAGCUGCUCUGCUGCCACUGAGCUCUUCAAUGGGAUGUGAGGAAUCCUCCUGCAUCCCUAAAACCAAACCAGCCCCUCCUGCAUCCCCAAAACCAUGCAGGAGAUGGGAAGGGAGGCGUGUUUAUCUGCCAUGAGCCACCAGCAGCUGUUGUGUGCCAUCCCGCUGCCAUUGUGGACUGUGGCUGGGCUGACCCCCAGCAGGGCUUUGGAGGUCUGAGAUUUGCAAAGGCAGAUCGUGGGACGUGUAAUAAAAUGCCAGGCGUUGGAUGAGAAACGUACAUUUAUUGAGGUGUAACAGUCAAUUGCGUGGCUGUUAAAGAGGUGUAACUGUGUAUUAAAUAAUCAGUUCAGCUGGAAUUUGUUUAAUAUAAUCGCGGCCUAUUAAACCUGAAUUAAGUACAGAAUUAAGUGUCUCUGGGACACAGCUGAAAACACUGCCAGGAAUGUUUUAUGUUGCCUGAAAACCUUUGAGGAAAACUCCCACAAAUGUGCAACUGCCCUUCAUUUGAUGCAGGAAGCACAAUAUGGGAUUUUUGGUUCUUUUUUGUCUGAACUGCAGUUAUGUAGCAAGUUUGGCCUCAUCUGAGACUUAGCGUAGGUGCAAAAAUACCUGCCUGCUUUUCUGGAACUCCUCCUUCACAGAUUUUGUACGGCCUUUUGUGCUUCACAGCCUCACAAACGUGAGGUUGGAGGACCCCAAGGGCUGCCCAAUGCUCAGCUCCUGUUGCCUUCUCGCUCUGUUUCCAGCAACAUGUGGUGGUUUGUGCCCCGGUCCCUGCACUAUGGGUUUGCAACCUGAGUGCCUCUGUGUAAGGAAUGCAGCAGCCACAAUCCGCGUUCCCCUCCCUCCUGCUAAUUAGCCCAUGUUUAACACCCGGACAAAACCCUGCUGCACCUGCACUGCCCUGGGAAGCACAAUGCUGGGGCAGCAACAAAGCAGCGUGUUGGGGACCCUGAAAGCCCUGAGCUCCGUUGCACGCAGCACUUUGAAAAAGGAUGAUAAAAAAAGGAGGUGGGGAUUCUCUCGCUCCUACUUUUCACUAUUGGAGAGAAUGGGUGAAAGCUCACAAAAGCGGCUUAAUAAAGAGGAGAGGGAGAACAAGGCGAGGGGAAGUGAGGGCAGGCUGAAAGGAAGGAGGACUUUCCAGGUUGCAUUGUCCCCUUUGCCUUCCAGAGAUCCUGAGUCAAUGUCUCAAAAGCCGUCGAUGACAUCAAGUUGAUUGGUUUUGCUGCAGCCCUUGAAAGCAGUGGUGGGGAAUCGAUGCAGCCAUCCUCCGCCCAGGACCUGCUUUUAGGAGGACAAAGUGAGCCUUAUUCAUGGGCACGACAAAGGGUCCAGCGCUGCUUUGAUGUGGUGACCGUCCAAUGGCCCCUUCACCUGUUUCUUCCCUUUGGAGGAACGCUGCAAUGCAUUUUCAUCCGUCUCUUUGGCCAGAUUCUUCCUAGAAAUCGCUGCUAUUCAGCAAGAAGUGAAGGUUUCCUUUUUGAAAUCUUUAAUGAAACGACUACAAAUAAUAGUCUACCUUCCACCCAAGAAGGGCAGAAUUAUUCCUUCUCCCGCCUAUACAGAUGGAAGGAAUGCUUAUGUAUGGAUUGUGUUUUCCUACAGCCAGGCUGGAUGACAAUCUGGUUGACUUCUAGGACGCAGCUUCUCGAAGAUGCUGCUCCUUCAGCAGCUGCAGUGCCCACGCUGGUGGGAUGUCUGGCACGUGGGACUGCAGAGUAAAUGCUUAAUGAGGAGGUUGCUCACAAAGGCAGUGGUACAAGGUGGUCCAUUAGAGGCUUCAGGCCUAACUCGGUUGAUCUUGAAAUACAAACAUAAUACUUUCAGGCUUAAAUAGCAGACUGAUCACAGCAGUCCCCGCUAGAAUCUCUACGUGUCUAAGGCACUGGACAUAAAUUAGUAUCAUCAGUUCAAACACCUUGAAAAUUGGAAAUAAAUUAUGCCAGACACUGGAGACAGAUGGCAUCCAUACACCAGGCAGAGCCAGAAAGCCCAGCGCUUCGGACAUCUGUAGAUGAAUUCCCUGAAGCACCUGGAGCUGCAGAGAGGAGAGGAGAAAGUGAUCUGUGCCUGAGAAUGGAUGGGUUUCUUUGGAAGUAUCACUUCAGCUUCAUCCGAGCAGCAAAGAGAGAAACUCGUUCACUAACCCACUGUUCUGCUGUGUCCUCCUAUAGGGAUAUAAAUACGGCUGAAAAAUGUCUGCAUUGUUUAUUACUUUGAAGUCAAACGUGCACCGGCUAUUUUCAGAAACAUGGGAGAAGUAAUGCCUUCUGGCUGGCUUUGAGUUGCCAGGUCGUCUGAAUAAUUUCCCUUUCCCUGUCCCUCUGCUUUUAUAUACACAUGGAAAGGCAGACACGGAUAUUUUAAUGUAUGUAUUAAAACUAGACCAAAAGUUA